GACGAACGCUGGCGGCGUGCUUAACACAUGCAAGUCGAACGGAAAGGCCCCUUUGGGGGUACUCGAGUGGCGAACGGGUGAGUAACACGUGAGUAACCUUCCCUUGACUUCGGGAUAACUUCAGGAAACUGGGGCUAAUACCGGAUAGGAAUCCUUGCUGCAUGGUGGGGGUUGGAAAGCUUCGGGCGUUUUGGAUGGACUCGCGGCUUAUCAGUUUGGUGGUGGGGUAGUGGCUUACCAAGGCUUUGACUGGUAGGCGGCCCGAGAGGGCGAACGGCCACCAUGGGAAUGAGAUACGGCCCCGACUCCUACGGGGGGGCGCAGUGGGGGAUAUUGGAACAUGGGCGGAAGCCUGAUGCAGCAACGCCGCGGGCGGGAUGACGGCCUUCGGGUUGGAAAACGCUUUCAGCAGGGGCGAAGCUUGUGGUGACGGUACCUGCAGAAGAAGCACCGGCUAACUACGUG
rnacentral:rRNA from 1 species